UACGAAGGGGGCUAGCGUUGCUCGGAAUCACUGGGCGUAAAGGGCGCGUAGGCGGUUGGAUAAGUCAGCUGUGAAAACCACGGGCUUAACUCGUGGCCUGCAGUUGAGACUGUCUGGCUUGAGUGUGGGAGAGGAGAGUGGAAUUCCUGGUGUAGCGGUGAAAUGCGUAGAGAUCUGGAGGAACACCGGUGGCGAAGGCGGCCCCCUGGUUCGAUACUGACGCUGAGGUGCGAAAGCGUGGGGAGCAAACAGG
rnacentral:rRNA from 1 species